GGUAGUCCACGCCGUAAACGAUGAAUGCUAGGUGUUAGGGGUUUCCAUCCCCUUGGUGCCGAAGUUAACACAUUAAGCAUUCCGCCUGGGGAGUACGGCCGCAAGGCUGAAACUCAAAGGAAUUGACGGGGACCCGCACAAGCGGUGGAGUAUGUGGUUUAAUUCGAAGCAACGCGAAGAACCUUACCAGGUCUUGACAUCUUAUGGACCGCCCUAAAAAUAGGGUUUUCCUUCGGGACAUUAAAGACAGGUGGUGCAUGGUUGUCGUCAGCUCGUGUCGUGAGAUGUUGGGUUAAGUCCCGCAACGAGCGCAACCCUUAACUUUAGUUGCCAGCAUUUAGUUGGGCACUCUAGAGUGACUGCCGGUGACAAACCGGAGGAAGGUGGGGAUGACAUCAAAUCAUCAUGCCCCUUAUGACCUGGGCUACACAC
rnacentral:rRNA from 2 species